rnacentral:rRNA from 1 species
GACGAACGCUGGCGGCGUGCUUAACACAUGCAAGUCGAACGGAAAGGCCCUGCUUUUGUGGGGUGCUCGAGUGGCGAACGGGUGAGUAACACGUGAGUAACCUGCCCUUGACUUUGGGAUAACUUCAGGAAACUGGGGCUAAUACCGGAUAGGAGCUCCUGCUGCAUGGUGGGGGUUGGAAAGUUUCGGCGGUUGGGGAUGGACUCGCGGCUUAUCAGCUCGUUGGUGGGGUAGUGGCUUACCAAGGCUUUGACGGGUAGCCGGCCUGAGAGGGUGACCGGCCACAUGGGGACUGAGAGACGGCCCAGACUCCUACGGGAGGCAGCAGUGGGGAAUAUUGCACAAUGGGCGGAAGCCUGAUGCAGCAACGCCGCGUGCGGGAUGACGGCCUUCGGGUUGUAAACCGCUUUCGCCUGUGACGAAGCGUGAGUGACGGUAAUGGGUAAAGAAGCACCGGCUAACUACGUG